GGGGAUGACGGGAUUCGCUGAAUUAGCCCUUUGAAAACACGUCAAGCCGAGUUUGAACCAUACUCGUAAAACAGGCUCAAGCACAAGUGUCAAAAAGAAACUGACACGCGUAGCCAAAGCCCUCUUUAGAGAGCCGAACUACGCUUCUCGUUAUCUUUACGCUUAAGCGUGAUAAUGAGCAUCCCAAAGCUCCUUUCUCGACUGCAGCCUGGGGUGACAACCAAUCGAGAUGCCCCCGCCAAGUCUGACUAACACCAAAGUGGGGAAAGACUAGUUAGUCAAAAACAACAAGCUUGUACAAACGUGUCUCAAUCCUAAUUCACACGGGGGUUCAACUCCCCCCAUCUCCACCA
rnacentral:tmRNA from 3 species